rnacentral:rRNA from 1 species
UGGGGAAUAUUGCGCAAUGGGGGGAACCCUGACGCAGCCAUGCCGCGUGAAUGAAGAAGGCCUUAGGGUUGUAAAGUUCUUUCGGUAUUGAGGAAGGUUGAUGUGUUAAUAGCACAUCAAAUUGACGUUAAAUACAGAAGAAGCACCGGCUAACUCCGUGCCAGCAGCCGCGGUAAUACGGAGGGUGCGAGCGUUAAUCGGAAUAACUGGGCGUAAAGGGCACGCAGGCGGUUAUUUAAGUGAGGUGUGAAAGCCCCGGGCUUAACCUGGGAAUUGCAUUUCAGACUGGGUAACUAGAGUACUUUAGGGAGGGGUAGAAUUCCACGUGUAGCGGUGAAAUGCGUAGAGAUGUGGAGGAAUACCGAAGGCGAAGGCAGCCCCUUGGGAAUGUACUGACGCUCAUGUGCGAAAGCGUGGGGAGCAAACAGGAUUAGAUACCCUGGUAGUCCACGUUGUAAACGCUGUCGAUUUGGGGGUUGGGGUUUAACUCUGGCGCCCGUAGCUAACGUGAUAAAUCGACCGCCUGGGGAGUACGGCCGCAAGGUUA